CUGAUGACAGAGCAGAGGCCUUGGCCACACAGUGUCAACAGGCCAGUGGUGCCCACCAGGAAACUCAAUCCCAGCUGGACAAACUGCUCUUAGCUGUCCACCACAUGAUCAGGGACAGCAGGGACUUGGUCACUUGGCGCUCAGAAGAGGAUCAUGUCAUGGGCCUAACUGCUUCUCAGGCUGGGGAUGUCUCCACAGAGCUCACAGUGGACAGAGUGGCAGCAGCUCUGCAAGACCUGCAGCAGCACCUGGAGCAUUCCCAGAAAGAUCUGAAUGAUGCAAGGAACAGGAUACAGGCCUUGGAGCUGGAGCUGGGCACGGGACAGGAUCAGAUGGACAAUCUCAGAGCCAGCAAUCAGGAGCUGCAGAUACAGUUGGAUGAAAGUCGGGCAGCAAUGUUGAGGGCAGAACACCAGAAGACCUCUCUAGAAACUGCCUUGAAGGAAGAAACCAUUACCCUGAAGGAAGAGGCUGUGACUCUUCGUCAGGAGGUGGCAUCUCUGAAAAAGAAAUUGGAAAACCUGGAG
rnacentral:lncRNA from 1 species